rnacentral:tmRNA from 1 species
CCACUUUUCAUUCACGACGGAGCCCCUAUAUUGGCCGGUGCCGGAUUCGUCCGGCUAUGGCGAUAAAUUGUGUCGUGCAAUAGAUGCAGCGGACCCGGGGGCGGUACCCGGCGGCUCCACCAUAAACCCUUGGCGACAGGGGCUUUUGACGGGGCCGAACUAGGAUCGACGUGUAUUGAAAGACGAUGUUUUUGCCCGGCCUGAAUGAGCCGUUAAACCGUUCAAAACCACAAGUGCCAACGAUAACGAAGCACUCGCUCUCGCAGCGUAAUUGAGGGGCUAACGCCCUGAGAUUAUUCUAAAAGAACGCGGUUCGGGCCGAACCGGGCAACAGAAUCGGACUCCA